rnacentral:rRNA from 1 species
CGCCUUGCCAGCCCGCUACAGAAACUUAAGGAAUUGACGGGGCCGCACAAGCGUGGAGCAUGUGGUUAAUUCGAAGCAACGCGAAGAACCUUACCAGGCCUUGACAUGCAGAGAACUUCCAGAGAUGGAUUGGUGCCUUCGGGAACUCUGACACAGGUGCUGCAUGGCUGUCGUCAGCUCGUGUCGUGAGAUGUUGGGUUAAGUCCCGUAACGAGCGCAACCCUUGCCUUUAGUUGCCAGCAGUUCGGCUGGGCACUCUAAAGGGACUGCCGGUGUUAAACCGGAGGAAGGUGGGGAUGACGUCAAGUCCUCAUGGCCUUUAUGACCAGGGCUACACACGUACUACAAUGGCCGAUACAAAGGGCAGCGACACUGCGAGGUGAAGCCAAUCCCGUAAAAUCGGUCUCAGUCCGGAUUGGAGUCUGCAACUCGACUCCAUGAAGUUGGAAUCGCUAGUAAUCGUGGAUCAGCAUGCCACGGUGAAUACGUUCCCGGGCCUU